UGGGGAAUUUUGGACAAUGGGGGAAACCCUGAUCCAGCCAUCCCGCGUGUGCGAUGAAGGCCUUCGGGUUGUAAAGCACUUUUGGCAGGAAAGAAACGUCAUGGGUUAAUACCCCGUGAAACUGACGGUACCUGCAGAAUAAGCACCGGCUAACUACGUGCCAGCAGCCGCGGUAAUACGUAGGGUGCAAGCGUUAAUCGGAAUUACUGGGCGUAAAGCGUGCGCAGGCGGUUCGGAAAGAAAGAUGUGAAAUCCCAGAGCUCAACUUUGGAACUGCAUUUUUAACUACCGGGCUAGAGUGUGUCAGAGCGAGGUGGAAUUCCGCGUCUAGCAGUGAAAUGCGUAGAUAUGCGGAUGAACACCGAUGGCGAAGGCCGCCUCCUGGGAUAACCCUGACGCUCAUGCACGAAAGCGUGGGGAGCAAACAGG
rnacentral:rRNA from 1 species